rnacentral:rRNA from 1 species
UACGGAGGGGGCUAGCGUUGUUCGGAAUUACUGGGCGUAAAGCGCACGUAGGCGGCUUUGUAAGUUAGAGGUGAAAGCCCGGGGCUCAACUCCGGAAUUGCCUUUAAGACUGCAUCGCUAGAAUUGUGGAGAGGUAAGUGGAAUUCCGAGUGUAGAGGUGAAAUUCGUAGAUAUUGGGAAGAACACCGGUGGCGAAGGCGGCUCUCUGGACCGAUACUGACGCUGAGGCGCGAAAAGCGUUGGGGGAGCAAACAGG